ensembl:lncRNA
GAGACACUGCAUUUCCGGGACAUUCUGGGAAUCCAAAGCUGAUUGAAACCUUACCACUAAAGACAAAAGACAGAUUUAAGCCUGUGACGUCAACUAUGGUGCCUUCUUUGAUUUACAAGAACUUUGUAUGUGACCAAAGGCAGGCUGGAGGACUGGAAGCACCAGCUGUGACAGCAGUCCCCCGGAGCUCCAAGUAAACCCGGGUCCACUUGGCACAACAGUUAGCAUGCAGUGCCAUGACCGCAUACACCCAGCUGCCACCAGGGCUAGACUUGGACCAAUAUCGGCCCUGGCCUUUGAGACUGGCCCACCCUAAUGAAUCGCAGCACGCGUUUUCUGUUCACUCCCAGAGCGGGCCCUGCCUGGAGAGCCGGUCUGCC